rnacentral:misc_RNA from 1 species
CUAGGAGAGUGAUGCAAAGAUAUGGGAAUCUGAAUGUUGCAGUGAAUCAGAGUUAGAAAUGGUGACUGGAAUUGAUUUUAGAUAUUGUUGUCAUUUGUCGAAUGAGAGGUUAGAGACUCCAUAUGAUGAAAUUUCGUGGUCAGAUUUAUUUUGGCUUAAUGCAUAUGAAUACUUGUGGGAAAUGUGCAAUUGAGCCAUUCACGUUACAUUUUGUUUAAUUGAAUACAAAACUUUUAUUUUAUGUUCAAUUGAACCUUUAAUAAACUAGUGUUUGCACAAUGUGGAUCACAAAAUUUCAUCAUAUGGAGUCUCUAACCUC